ensembl:lncRNA
AUGUAUGCAGAUAUAGAGCCAGACAGAGCAGUGUUGCUGAAGGAGGGUGAGGAUACAGAUAUAGAGCCAGACAGAGCAGUGUUGCUGAAGGAGGAUGAGGAUACAGAUAUAGAGCCAGACAUAGCAGUGUUGCUGAAGGAGGGUGAGGAUACAGAUAUAGAGCCAGACAUAGCAGUGUUGCUGAAGGAGGGUGAGGAUACAGAUAUAGAGCCAGACAGAGCAGUGUUGCUGAAGGAGGGUGAGGAUACAGAUAUAGAGCCAGACAGAGCAGUGUUGCUGAAGGAGGGUGAGGAUACAGAUAUAGAGCCAGACAUAGCAGUGUUGCUGAAGGAGGGUGAGGAUACAGAUAUAGAGCCAGACAUAGCAGUGUUGCUGAAGGAGGGUGAGGAUACAGAUAUAGAGCCAGACAUAGCAGUGUUGCUGAAGGAGGAUGAGGAUACAGAUAUAGAGCCAGACAUAGCAGUGUUGCUGAAGGAGGGAUGAGGAUACAGAUAUAGAGCCAGACAUAGCAGUGUUGCUGAAGGAGGAUGAGGAUACAGAUAUAGAGCCAGACAUAGCAGUGUUGCUGAAGGAGGAUGAGGAUGCCAUCAUAGACAUUCAUGUAUCCUUCCAUGACACUUGGCACAAGAGAGGAUUCACUUCCAACUACGGCAUAGGUGUGUUCAUUGGUGCUGGUACCAGCUAGUCAUAGAAAAUGUUGAAGAUUCACCCUGUCACAAAACCCUUGGAGGCCAUAUAUGUUUUAGUAGAGGUUGCACAGAAAAUGGUACCUGUAUAUCAUGAUGUCAAAUGUUAACGUCCUCAAAAGAAUGUAGCACGGAGGAACCCAGAAUGCAAAGGAAUGUCUGAACUCUGUAAUAUGGUCGCGAUGCCCCAAAACUGUCUUCGUGGGCAAAAGCCGCAUUGACGGAGCAGCCAGUAUGGCAGUAGCCACGCUCAAUGAGGGAGCCACUGCUCGAACAAAUGUGAUGAACAAAUUGUGGCUAGACGGCACUUUGGUGACACUGGAGCAAUCAGAGGGGAGCUGAUGCUGCUUCAAUGUAGUGUGCCAAGCGUAGGCGUAGGUCCCAUGACAUAGUCAAGAAAGUAAAGCGUCACCAGCAACAAGGGCCUUACGUAGUGGGCAGGCAUAGCUGAUUGAUGUCCUGCACAUUUCAACAGCCAUACAACAUCCUUGUAUGUGACAAAUUGAGCAAAGUGAUAUGAGAAUUUGCCCAAAACUGCAUAUUUGACAACAGACCAGUAUUCAAAGCAUAUGCUCUACUGCUUGAAACAAAUGUAUUAAACGUGCUAAUGUAAUUGUAAAAGGUAUAUUUGAUGUCCAUGUGUCAGUUUAGAAGUGAUAUAUGAAUAAGAGUUGAAUUAAUGUGACAUACAUGGUCAUAUUUAUGGUAAGUACAUUUUAAUUGCAUUAGCCUAUAUCGGCCAAUUUCUCAAAAUGACAUGUUCCUGGUGCACCAAUUCAUUGUUCUCAGUCUUCAUAGAACGCACACUCAUUAUUCCACACACAGGUUCUUAGGUCUUAUAGUCAGACUUUUACAGAGGCUUUUUUAUAUAUAUUGAGUCAUUUUGAUUUGAAGUGUCAUUUUAUGUGUAAAUAUAUGCAAAAUAUGCAUCUGUCAAAAAUGUGAAUAGUGUUUUUUAAAUUAUUCCAUGAAAUGACAAUAUUUUGAUAAACUGAUCUGUAAAAUCUGACCAUUGAGUGUCUUAUCACAAUGAAACAAAAACAUUCUGCCUUGAAGCAAUGUGUUGAAAAACAGAUUAUCAUAGCAUGCAUAUUAGCGCAUAUUUAUGGACUGUUUGCCUCAUUUGUAUAUUUUAAUUAAAAAAUAAACAAAAC